rnacentral:pre_miRNA from 1 species
UAAGUACCCCCUCCGCCCCGAAUUAAUUGUCGCGGAAAUGGAUGUAUCUAGACGUAUUUUUAGUUCUAGAUAUAUCCAUUUCUACCCCGCGACAAGUAAUUCAGGACAUAGGGAGUAUAUU